rnacentral:lncRNA from 1 species
CGAGGAGCGGUACUUUGCCUAGGUGGUUUACUCUUUCUUUUUGUAGUUGAGAGAGUGUGAGGUUUUUGUACCCAUGUAUAGAGACCACCUAUGUAUCUACCUAUAGCAUUUGUAUCUGAAAUUUUCUUGUAUCACUUUAUGUUUUAUUUAGUGGAUUUACAGUUUUAUCCUUAUCCCUUGUUGUAGCAUUUAGACAUUUAUUAUGCUCUGAUACUCCUAGAUGUCUUGUAUUAUUGCUUUUAUUAUUGUUGUUUUUAGACGCCUUAUACGUUUUAGACGUAUGGCGGGUCUGGGCACGCGCCGAGCGGGCUUCCGCUGGGUCCCGGGGCGUGACAGAAAAUGGGGCAAAAUAGCCCCUAUGCCUUCUAAACUUUUUGUAAAGUAUUUUUGAAUGCAAAUUCAUGCUAAACAUGAUUUAUAUGAGUUUUAGAACACUUAACAUGCAUGCCUCAUGUAUCGUAAAAUUUGUACUCCAUAUAGUAGAGCUAUAUGUGUAGAUUGCAUGCAUUGUGGAUAGUGCUUGGUUUUGGAAGUUGAGAACAUGUCUCCAUGCUAGAAUUGAGUGAACUAUGCAUCAUGAACAUAUUAAUGCCAUGCUUGGGACUCGUUGAACAAAAGUGUCAUAAAGAGGCACUUGGAAUUAGUAAACUAUGCAAAUGCAACUUAGAGACAUGAUGAUAGGCCAUUGUACAUCUGCUAUAUAUUCCAUGUUAGAGACAUGAUGACAUAGAGAUAGGCCUUUGGGACAUUCGAUACAUUCCAUGUUAUUAGACAUGAGGACUUGGUACUUGUGAUAGGAUAUACGACUACUUGCCAUUGUGCUCAUUCGCACAUGCUUGUGAGGGUCGCUCCCUACAAGCCGGCACUCCGGAGAUAGCCAUCGCGAUUCAUAUUCGCCGUGCGGGAUUGGGCGCCGAAGUGGAUUGCCGUGGGCCAGGCUCAUUCCUAUGGUGGGGAUGUUGACUACCACGGGGCCAUUAGGCUCAGCACCGGCCAGACAGCCUACGGGUGGGUCUCAGGGCCAUAGACAGCCUUCGGGUGGGUCUCUUCAGAUUUGACUUUGAGUAUUCAUUAUGACAUGUGGACAGAUGAUGACUUAGUGUACCACUUGGACAUUGACUAGAAUAGUAAACCACGGAACUUUACUAUUUCGCAUUGUGAACAUUAUGAUAGUUGGAGACUUUUACUUCAUGCAUAGUUGCUUUAUACUUAUGCCAAUUAUGCUAAGUAGAGAUAUCAUAUUGUAGUAAGUUACAUUUUUACUUACCUUUCGCUUUUCUACAUUUAUAGUCACUGACAUCUUUUGUAGCUUUGGGCCUCGUGGUGCAUUCACUGAAGUUAGUAAUUGCCCACUUUGAACUAUUUUUAAUAGUUCUCACGCCCCUGUUUUAUGGUUUCCUUUUCAGAGCCUUCGGCACCGGCGGAGGCACGGGAUCGCGGCAAGGGGAUCGCUUAGCUAGCUAGCGAUGAGCGGUACUUUGCCUAGGUGGUUACUCUUUCUUUUGUAGUUGAGAGAGUAAGAGGUUUUGUAUCCAUGUAUAGAGACCACCUAUGUAUCUACCUAUAGCACUGGUAUCUGGGAUUUUCUUGUGUCACUUUAUGUUUUAUUUAGUGGAUUUACAGUUUUAUCCUUAUCCCUUGUUGUAGCAUUUAGACAUUUAUUAUGCUCUGAUACUCCUAGAUGUCUUCUAUUAUUACUUUUAUUAUUGUUGUUUUUAGACGCCUUAUACGUUUUAGACGUAUGGCGGGUCUGGGCACGCGCCGGGCGGGCUUCCGCUGGGUCCCGGGGCGUGACAGUAAGCUUCUUCCCCUCUCAUGGUAGAACCCAAACUAAGGUUUGGAUUGAGCUAAGAAUGAUUUUAAUGGAACCUUUAGAGUAUUUGAAGCUCUAUUUUGCUUCUCUAAGAGAUCAAAACCCUAAAUUUGAUAUAUCUGAAGGUAGGGCACCCAAAUUUGGGGCUUUUGCUUGUGAGGGUUUCAAAGUGAAAUAAACCCUCUAGAAAUCUAAUUGGGGGUAUUUCCGACGCGUUGGUGCGCUCGGAUUGACGUUACGAAAAGCCUAUGUAAGGUUAUGAGCAAAAAUGCCUAACUUGGCUUCGUUUUGCC